GACGAACGCUGGCGGCGUGCUUAACACAUGCAAGUCGAGCGGUAAGGCCCUUUCGGGGGUACACGAGCGGCGAACGGGUGAGUAACACGUGGGUGACCUGCCCUCAGCUCUGGGAUAAGCCUGGGAAACUGGGUCUAAUACUGGAUAUGACUCCACGGUGCAUGUCGUGGGGUGGAAAGCCUUGUGCGGCUGAGGAUGGGCCCGCGGCCUAUCAGCUUGUUGGUGGGGUGANGGCCUACCAAGGCGACGACGGGUAGCCGGCCUGAGAGGGCGACCGGCCACACUGGGACUGAGACACGGCCCAGACUCCUACGGGAGGCAGCAGUGGGGAAUCUUGCGCAAUGGGCGAAGCCUGACGCAGCGACGCCGCGUGA
rnacentral:rRNA from 1 species